GGGGGCAAGCGUUGUUCGGAAUUACUGGGCGUAAAGGGCGCGUAGGCGGCCUUCUAAGUCAGACGUGAAAUCCCCGGGCUCAACCCGGGAACUGCGUCUGAGACUGGAAGGCUCGAAUCCGGGAGAGGGAUGUGGAAUUCCAGGUGUAGCGGUGAAAUGCGUAGAUAUCUGGAGGAACACCGGUGGCGAAGGCGGCAUCCUGGACCGGUAUUGACGCUGAGGCGCGAAAGCCAGGGGAGCAAACGGG
rnacentral:rRNA from 1 species